UGUCAAGAUACAUAAUUAGCUCCCGAUACAUCCAAUGAAGUUACAUUUUUUCCUCUAUAAAAAUACAUAAUUAGCUCCCGAUAUAUUUUUUUUUGAUUUUAAAUCUAUCGAGAUACAUAAUACAUACAAUGAAGAUGCAUUUUUUCCUUCGUAAAGAUACACAAUUAGUUCUCGAUACAUUUUUUUUCGAUUUUGGGCCUAUCGAGAUACAUAAUUAGCUUCCCAAUACAUCCAACGAAGACACAUAAUUAGUUGAAAUUUUUGUAGUUACUUUUGUUAUAGUGAAGAUUUGUAUUAAUAUGUUAAGUUAAGAUGUAUAUUUAUGUUAUUUUUUCAAUCUAAGGAUGUAUAUUUUGAUUUUUUUUCCCCAUUAGAUUCCCCCUAUUUGAUUUGAUAGGCCCAAGCAACUAUGAUAAAGCCCAAAAUUUGUUAAGGCCCAAAUUGUGUGUCUGCACCCACUCUUUGAAUCUAGGGUUUUCUAAAUUUUAUCUUUUAUCACUACAAUAAAUAAGCAGUGUGAAUAGUGAGGUAGACUCGAAGUUCUCAGUCGGAACAAUGGGUAUCUCAAGAGAUUCUAUGCACAAGAGACGUGCCACUGGUGGAAAGAAGAAAGCUUGGAGGAAGAAGCGAAAGUUAGUUUUUUUUUGUCUUUUGUUUCCUAAUUUAUCAUGUGCAUUUCUAUUAUUAUGAGUUAUUAUUAUUAUUUGUUUGGUUGAUGUUAUAAAGAUAAAUUUAUGCUGUCAAUCAAAUAUAGUACAAAUAUAUUACUUACUUUGU